rnacentral:rRNA from 1 species
UAUUAUGAUCUAUCUAAAAUUUAAUUACUCGAGCCCGAUCCCAUCUGAUCUUGGAAGCUAAGCAGGGUCAGGCCUGGUUAGUAUUUAGAUGGAAGACUACCUAGGCAGACCAGGUGCCGUAGGCG